GGAAUCUCGAUUGCAUAAUUUAUGGUAGAGGGGGACUGCGUUCGCGCUCUCCCCUG
rnacentral:snRNA from 8 species